GGACAGCUAGGUCUAGUACGCAGAAGGACCAGGACACGGGUAUCAUAGCUAUUUGAGUAUGGCGGUAUUUGAAAAAUGGAAAUUGUAACAGGUCUUACGGCGACAGUUAGCAAGCUAUUGCAGUUCUCCGGCUUGUCUGUGAAGAAUGUAUCUGGGACCAAAAAUAUGGAAGAAAAGGCAUUAGAAGUUUAUGAUGUUAUCCGUACUAUUCGAGAUCCAGAGAAACCCAACACUCUGGAAGAGCUAGACGUUGUUUCUGAGAAAUGCGUUGACGUUCAUGAACUUGGAGAUGAUGAAUACCUCAUUAUCAUAAAAUUCUCUCCUACAGUACCCCACUGUUCUCUGGCAACAUUGAUAGGCCUCUGUCUUCAAGUCAAAUUACAACGAUGCCUACCAUUUAAACACAAGUUGGAAAUUUAUAUUUCUGAAGGAACACAUACAACUGAGGAAGACAUUAACAAACAAAUCAAUGACAAAGAGAGGGUUGCUGCUGCAAUGGAAAACCCUAACCUGCGGGAAAUUGUGGAACAGUGUGUAACUGAACCAGAUGACUAGGGCUACCCUGUUGUUACCGUCUUUAACUACUGAAAUCAUACUUCAGCUGUAAGGUUUCAUUCUGUUCUCUGAUCCCAUGAGAAACCUGUUUCUGUGAUGCUGUCUCUAUAAAUUAUAUAAAAAUUAAAAAAGUGCACUAUCUUAUUGAACUUUGCUCCUCUAGCUUCAUAGCAAUUUAAUCUCCAGUGCAGAAGAACAUCCCAGAUAAAUGAAUUGAAAUCCAUUGUGGAUUUGGGUGGAUUUCACUCAGGUGUAUGAUAACAAUGUAUAGCAUUAGAACAUUUAAAUCACUAAGCUCUGCCACACCAUACACAUUUUCUCAUGCUUUUACUGCUGCUUCAGAAAGCUACACGUAUUGGCAGCAUAUUCCUGAAAUUUAAUUUAUAUUUUAUUGACUUUUAUUGUGUAAAUCUAAAGAUUUCCUAUUUUAAUAAAAUUACCAUCUGCCUUUAUGUAGAAUGACUGAGAAGUGUCACUAAGUUUGAUUAGUUUUUAUUUGUUUUAGUUAUAUCCAAUGCUGUGUUAUCCAAAUAUCAGUAUCAGUAGUGGGUUCAUAUUAAACAUAUUCUUUACUUC